rnacentral:rRNA from 1 species
GAAAAGAAUUUAUUUAUUAAUAUUUAUUAUUUUAUUUUUUUUUAAUAAAAAUAAUUUUAAAGUUAAUGGUUUUGUAAAUUAUAUUGAAAAAAUAAUUUUAAUUAUAGUUUAUUUGUAUUGUAAAAGAAUAUUGAAAAAAUUUGAAAAAUUUUUAUAUUAAAAGAAUAUUUAAUUUGUAGUACCUUGUGUAUCAGGGUUUAUCAAAAAAAAAUUUAUUAAAAAAAUUUUCUCGAUUUUAAGAGAUUUAAUUAAUUAUUUUAGUUACUGUGGCAUAAGUAUUAAAAAUAAUUAAUUAGAAAUGAAACGUUAUUCGUUCUUAAAUAUAUCUAGUUUUUUAAGAAAUAAAUUUAAUUUAUAUAUUUUUUAGUAAUAAUUUAUUUAUUUAAAUUAUUAUUUAAUUAAUAUAAAUAUUUUAAGGGAUAAGCUUUAAAAUAAAUUUUUAUAUAAUAUAAAUUUUUGUAUAAAUUGUAAGCUUAAAAAUAGUUAUCAAUUAAAAUUAUGUUAUAAUUUAUUUAUACUUUAAAAAAUUUAUUAAAUUAUUAACUGUUUAUUAAAAUUUUUAUUUUAAUUAUAUUUAUAAAGUAAUAAUGAUAAAAUUAGUAUAUUUAUUUAUAUUUAUAAAAAUAAAUAUGAAAGAAAGGUUUAUUUAAGGAAUUCGGCAAAUUUUUAUACUCGCCUGUUUAGCAAAAACAUGUCUUUUUGAAUUUAAUAAAAAGUCUGGCCUGCCCGCUGAAAAAUUUUGAAGGGCCGCGGUAUUUUGACCGUGCAAAGGUAGCAUAAUCAUUAGUCUUUUAAUUGAAGGCUUGUAUGAAUGGUUGGACGAAGUAUAAGCUGUCUUAAUUAAAUUUUUUAUAGAAUUUUACUUUUUAGUUAAAAGGCUAAAAUAUAAUUGAAGGACGAGAAGACCCUAUAAAGCUUUAUAAUAUUUUAUAUAUAAUUUAUUAAGAAAAUUUUAAAUUUUAUAAUUUAAUAUUAUUUUAUUGGGGUGAUAAUAAGAUUUAACAAACUCUUAUUAAUAUUUUACAUUAAUAUAUGAAUAAUUGAUCCAAUAUUAUUGAUUAAAAAUUUAAGUUACUUUAGGGAUAACAGCGUAAUUUUCUUUGAGAGUUCUUAUCGACAAGAAAGAUUGCGACCUCGAUGUUGGAUUAAGAAUUAUUUUUAGGUGUAGAAGCUUAAAUGUUAGGUCUGUUCGACCUUUAAAUUCUUACAUGAUCUGAGUUCAGACCGGCGUGAGCCAGGUUGGUUUCUAUCUUCAAUAAAUUAAAAUAUUUUAGUACGAAAGGACCAAAUAUUUGAAAUAUUAAUUUUUUAAAAUUAAUGAAUAUAAUUAAUUAAAUUAAG